rnacentral:misc_RNA from 1 species
GAUGAAGAACUUAGCGAAAUGCGAUACUUGGUGUGAAUUGCAGAAUCCCGUGAACCAUCGAGUCUUUGAACGCAAGUUGCGCCCGAAGCCAUUAGGCCGAGGGCACGCCUGCCUGGGCGUCACACGUCGUUGCCCCCCCAUCUACUCCUUCGGGAUUGCGGGGGGCGGAUGAUGGCCUCCCGUGCGCCUCGCCGCGCGGUUGGCAUAAAUGCCAAGUCCUCGGCGACGCACGCCACGACAAUCGGUGGUUGCGAAACCUCGGUUGCCCGUCGUGUGCGGUCGUCGCGCAUCGAGGGCUCGAAAAAAUUGCCGGGUUCCGGCUCGGCUUUCAACGCGACCCCAGGUCAGGCGGGGUUACCCGCUGAAUUUAAGCAUAUCAAUAAGCGGAGGA